UAGGGAAUCUUCCGCAAUGGGCGAAAGCCUGACGGAGCAACGCCGCGUGAGUGAUGAAGGUCUUCGGAUCGUAAAACUCUGUUAUUAGGGAAGAACAAAUGUGUAAGUAACUAUGCACAUCUUGACGGUACCUAAUCAGAAAGCCACGGCUAACUACGUGCCGGCAGCCGCGGUAAUACGUAGGUGGCAAGCGUUAUCCGGAAUUAUUGGGCGUAAAGCGCGCGUAGGCGGUUUUUUAAGUCUGAUGUGAAAGCCCCCGGCUCAACCGGGGAGGGUCAUUGGAAACUGGUUGACUUGAGUGCAGAAGAGGAGAGUGGAAUUCCAUGUGUAGCGGUGAAAUGCGUAGAUAUAUGGAGGAACACCAGUGGCGAAGGCGACUCUCUGGUCUGUAACUGACGCUGAGGCUCGAAAGCGUGGGUAGCAAACAGG
rnacentral:rRNA from 1 species